UCCAGAUGCGUUACCUCUUCUUUUCCUUCCGGCUUCAAGUCUUUCAACUGCAAUGGACAUCCCCUCGGUGUAAGCCUUCGAUGAAUCUAGCUUCAUCUUUUCUGAAGGCAAUCCUCUCUCUUCUUCAUGAUGAUGCAUUGGAGGUGAUUUCUCUGGAGACUCUGGAGAAGUCUUGAAUAUCCGAUUAGUGUAUCGUUUAAUCCAUGAAAGUGGAGCUGCGGAUGAAGGGCUUGCGCCGUUUUGUCUUUCCAUAGAAGAGUUGUUAUAGCCAUCUUCGCUAUUACUCACAGUGCUGACUCCAUUUUGCAACUCCACCUUCUGCUUCAGAGCAGAAACCUUUUCCCAGCUACGCUCCAAAUUGGAGAGCUGCAUUUUAGCCAUGGACAUGUCAUCUAAAGCAACUUUCAGAUUCUCCAACUUCUUCAGUUCUUCAAUCUCAUGUCGGAUUUCUUCUCUUUCAGAUCGAAGCAUAUGCCUUUGCUUCUCUAGUUUUUCUCUUUGAACCUUUAGCUCUUCAACCGAAUCCUUCAGCUCAGCCCACUCUCUCUCCCUCCUCUCACGGUCCAGUUUGAUCUCCAGCCUCUCGACAUCCAACCUCUUUAGUUCCACUUGGACUUGUUCUAACUCUUUCUUCGCUGAUUCCUUGAGGGACUGUAUACGUUCCUCUUCCAACUUCUUCUCUUGCUCAAAAGCCUUUUCUCUCUCCCUCGAAGCAUUCUCCAACUCUUCUCGUUUGUUCUCAAUGCAAUACUCCAGCUCUCGUUUCUGCGACUCAAUACCCAACAAGAAGUCAGCACGUUCGCGCUGUAUCUUGCUAAGCCACUCUGAAUGCUCCUCCACCAUUUUAUUCAUGAACUCUUCACGCUCUCGGUUAAGCGCCUCCACAUCGUUUUUGUGCUGAUUCCUCAACGCAUCCCUUUCCUCCCUGAUGUUAUCACGCUCGUCCUUGAGAUACAUUGAGAAAGCCUCCCUUUGACGAGUUAUGUACUCAGCUUCUUUUCUCAACUCUUCCCUUUUCACAUCAAUGUGUUCCCACUCAGCUUCGAACUUAGCUUUCUCCACCUUCAAUCUAUCAGCUUCGACCAGCAGUUCAUGCUUUUGACCUCUCAAAUCAUCUAACUCCUCCUUGAGGUUCAACUCCAGAAUGGAUAAUUCACUUGUCUCGCUCUUCAAUGCUUCAAGCUUUUCUGUUGCGGAGUCAACGCGUUUUCUCUUGUCUUCUAGUGAUAUCAAAGACUGCUGUAGAUCUAAGUCUAAUUUUCUAAGCCGGUCCUUCUCAUCCUCCAGCAGAGCUGUCUUACGGUUGAUAUCUUCCUCUAAAGCAUUCAAAUGCUUCUCUUUCUCGUUAAGAUUAUAAGACCUCUCCGUUAUGUCCUUUUCUUUCUCUGCCAAUGCCCUUGACUGAACUUCCAAGUCAUGUUCCUUUUCACCAACAAGGUCUUCCCUCUGCCUGAUAUCAACCUCUCUUAGUUCCCAAGCCCGUCUCUUGCUCUCGAUUUCAUCUUCCACCGCUUUGUACCUGCUUUCCAACUCAGCUUCCACAUCGGAUUUUCUUUUCCUCAGGAUAACCUCUUGAUUUGCUAAGACCUUCUGAAUCAGCUCCUGUGUAUUGAUAGUUUAAAAGCAUUUUAACUCUUGCAAACUAAAGUAUGAAUGAUAACUACAAAGUUCGUUAGAAUGAACAAGUAAACUCACAGAUUCUUUGGUGGCAAUUUUUUCUUCAGCAACAAGCAGCUCUUGCUCUUUCUUAAGUAGUGAAGAUUCCCUUUCAGAGACAGCCUGUUAUUGCAAGGGAACAAAACAUAAUGCUAUAAGUUCUUUGGUUGACGUGUUGAGCAGCAGUAGAAACAAAAGAUAUGUGUAUACAAACCUCUUCUCUUCUAGCAAGCGAAGCCAGCUCGAUCUCCAAAUUGGAUUUUCUGUCCUCAAAGGCUCUACGUUCCUCCUCAAAUGUACUCUUUGCAGACUCUAACCCCUUCUGAAGUUCAGCUAGUUCUUGGGAUUUACCAAAAAUGUGAUCUUCUCGCUGGUUUAGGGAAGCUUGUGCAUCCAAUAAUCUUUCAUGCUCUUGCUGCAAGCUCUUUCGCCUCUCACUUAGAGUCUGUCGCUCAAUAACGAUCUCGCUCUCUCUUGUUUCAGACCUAAACCAUAGAACGAAUGAAAACAGUUUAAUACCACAAAUGCCUUAUAGUCCAGUUAACAGAGACAGAAGACUUACUCAGACUUGAAAGAUGCAAGACGGCGAGCAAGAUCAUCUUCACGGCUCUCAACUUCCUUCAAUUUUCUCUCAGCAAUCCGGUGAUACCGGUUAGCUUCAGCCUGUAGAGCCUCAGCUGCGCGCAUUUUUGCUUCAGCAUCUGCAAAUUUCUUGAGAGCAUCCUCAAUCAUACUGUGACCUUCAGACAGUUUACUCUCAGCGGAAACUUUCGUCUCGGCACACUCUGCACGAAUCUCAUGCACAGUCUUCUCCAGCUGAGGACAAACAGAAGAAAACAAAAUCAAUUAAAAAAAUUGAAAAAAACCCUUUUUUGCCAGCUCUCAAAAGUUAAGGAAGGACUUACACUAGAGAUACACUCUUUAGCAACCCCGACAUCUUUCUUCAAACUCUCUUCUCGUUUCUUGGCUUCAGCCAAGGCGGAGACAUAGGCAGACAGAUCGCGCCGAUGUGCAAGGUCGGCUUCAUCAACAGAGGACUUAACCUCCUCAUACUUGGACAGCAAAUCGUCUUUCUCCAUGAUUAGAAGACCCAUGUUGUGUUGGUAAUCAUACACCUAACAUCCAAAAUUACGAUCAACAUAAAUAAAAACAAUCUAAAAAAGAAUCAAAGCUGAAAAGAGAAACAAAAAUCGAGACUUUAAAGACUUCCAAAAAGCAAAGCAAUAAUAACUCUCCAUCAAAACCAAUUCCAUACAAUAAAUGUUCAACAAAACGAACGGUAUGGAACAGUUGCUCUCCUUACUUACUUAGCCGGGAAAAAUCAAAUUCAUAUCAACUCAAAAUUGAACUAUUAGGCACAAGCUUCUAACAGCCUUUAAUUUCUAGCCCAAAAACACUCGCUAAAGCCUUAAACACUGUGUAAUUCUACAAGAGAUUUUCAUCGGAGAAAGAAAAUUAGGGAAGAAUCGAAAGAAAAAAAAGCGAACCUCGGAUUCGAGCUUGGCGAUGUAAGCGAUUAAGGCGGCUUUAUCCCUCUUUUUGAUCGACUGUUCAUCGAAUCCAGCUUCCUUGAGACGCUUCCACAUGAUUUCUUCGCUGAUAGGGCUUUUCAAAACCCUAGACCCAGGCGUAAUCGCUAAUCUGGUAGUUGCCGGUGUUCUCGGGACUCGCUCCGAGCUAGAAGACGUCGCCAUCGCGGUAACUAAUCGAACCGCCAAAAGUUUUCACCGAUCUACGAUCAGAAUCGCGACUGUAGUCUCUUCUCUCUCUCUAUAUAUCUGAAGAAGAAGAUACUCGGUCGCAGUGUAGUCUAGUCUCUCUCUCUUUCUUUUUUUUUUUUUAGGUCAAAAUGGUUUUAUAUUCAACUAGUCCAAAAAGUAUCAGCGAAAGUAGUAGCGUUUUAAUUUAAAGGCUUUCACGUAUUCGUUUUAAGCGGCUAAAUCCAAUUUUUUUCAAUAUUAUUAUGUAGUUUAAAAUAGGUGAUUAAAUAUGGUAAUUAAGAUUAUUCGACUCUUUACAAGACUGUAUAUAUAAAUUAAAAUUUAGAUUUUCUUAAUUCACUCUAAUCCUUUGAAAGUUUCAUACUAUGCUGUCUUUCACUUAGAAGAUGAGUAUAAUGUAUUUGUAAGUUAAAAUAUUGAGAGAAUGAUUUUUGAAAUUAAAAUACUGAGAGAAUGAUUCUUGAAGAUCUCUCUCUUUUAGUAACUUGACAGAUGUGUUUUGGUGUAUAGCCAACCCAUAUAUCUUGUUUGCCAGUAUUACAACUUUUAACCCAAAAUAAGAAUUAUUUACAAACACCUUUCUUGAAUCUUCUACGAUUUAUGAUAAUACUGACAGUUUACAUGGAUUUAUUCAAACCAGUGCACUAAACUACUUAUUUAUAUAUAUUUUUUCUAUUAUGGAUUUCAGGAGAUUUUUGGGUAACAUCAUGUUUCCUCUUUUUGUUACUGCUUGGCCCAGUAGAGUCAUUUCCAGAUGCGUUACCUCUUCUUUUCCUUCCGGCUUCAAGUCUUUCAACUGCAAUGGACAUCCCCUCGGUGUAAGCCUUCGAUGAAUCUAGCUUCAUCUUUUCUGAAGGCAAUCCUCUCUCUUCUUCAUGAUGAUGCAUUGGAGGUGAUUUCUCUGGAGACUCUGGAGAAGUCUUGAAUAUCCGAUUAGUGUAUCGUUUAAUCCAUGAUAAUGGAGCGGCAGAUGAAGGGCUUGAACCAUGGUUUUGUCUUUCCAUAGAAGAGUUGUUAUAGCCAUCUUCGCUAUUACUCAC
rnacentral:lncRNA from 1 species